CUCCUCAGUGAUGAGAUCCCUACCGCCCCAGUCUGAUCCCCGUGACUGAGUGGUUCCCUCUGAGGCC
ensembl:snoRNA SNORD31 Small nucleolar RNA SNORD31